GAUGAGAUCGCAAAAACCGAGGUAUCGUGUCACGGCAGGUGUGGCACGAUAAAGACCCCUCCCUGCUCAAAGGCCGUAAGCGCCGAGCAUAGAUGUUUCGCACACUCUAACAUCAUGCUAGGUCAAAAGGUCAUAGGGGAAAAAAUCUUACAUCCGGGUCCUUUGUCAAUGUGAAACAGCGAACGACGACGGCUGCUCACCAACAUUUUACGGGUGAGACAUACUUUGUUUAAGCAUGUAAGAUGAUAAAAAUAUAACAUUCGUAAAAAAUACACUUUAAAGUUACCACUAAGAGUUGCAGAUUAGAAUGUUUCAUUCACAUUUGUUUAAUUUGAGCUGGUGAAGUAUAGGUUGUUUAUGUCUGCUCGCUACUUUCACUUGCGAUGUUUUCUAUCGAAUUACAGUCAUUAGCUCUCUAAAAUUAACCCAGUAAAGUAGUACAUUGCAUAGAGAAGUGAUAACAGUUCAAUAAUUUUAUUGACAAUGUGUCUUUUUUCUUUUAAAAUGACAAAGUCGUUUGAUUUAUCGGCAUACCCCCCCCCCCUCUUCUCUCUCUCUUCUGUGGUAUGCAGUACUGAGUAGCAAUAGCCGUGUUUCGAGUUACUCCGGAACACCCGGGAUUUUUCGUAUUUAGCCACGCCGGUCACGUGAUAUGAGCAAAAUGUUCCACAGGGGUACUUCCGGUUAAUUUUGUUUACACUGGUAACAAAAUUGUUUUUGACAAAAUAUAGAUUUUGCGGCACAAACUGUCGCAAAUCAGAUAAAGGAUAGCAAGGGAUAUAUAUUUACUUGGGAAGAUGUCAAAGUUUACCUUUUCCCAAACCCGGGGAAAGCGUUCACGCAGAGGAAACGAUGGCGUCAUUUGUGUAGAAAACCACGAGCAGCCGAAAUUGAGUGCGAUUAUUACAUUCCGUGAAAGCUGAACCAACAAAGAAACAUCAUUGUUCUAGCCAGUUUGCUUAUAUUAACUUUUAGGAAAACCAAGAGGUUGAUAACAAUGGCUGAUCUGCAUAUAAUGACUGCUAGUUAUUGGCUGGUAUGCAGUGAAAGGGAGCUAAAAAGGAGUAAAAAGUUCAUAUCAGCCAGGUGAGAAUUAAUUUCUUCUUUUUUGUGUGUUAUACAUAUGUAAUUCUUUUCUUUUGCUGCUUCAAAUCUUGUGUAUUUGAAAAUUUUCAGUCUAAUAUUUGGCAAUGUUAUAGGUAGUGUGGUUUAAAUAAACCAGUGUUAAGGAAUAUCCAGUAAUGGCAUGACAUCAUGAGAGUUUGGCAUACCGACAUUCAGAUGAUUAAUGAUGAAACUGAAGACCUCAAGUGAAAGGCAUGGAAAAUUAUCCUGUUCCCAUUAACCUGGAAAAGAGGAGGGAUGCCACAAUAUUGAUAAUAGACUUUUGUCAAUUUGAGAAGCAAAGAUGUAAAAAAAAAAAAAAAAAAAAAAAAAAUAAAUAAAUAAAUAAUGCUGAAAUUAUAAUUCAUGUAUUUGUUAAAAAUACUGUUCACUGUACAUACAUGUAUAUUUUUUUUAACUUAUUUGGAAAUACAUGAAGUAAUUCAUAUUAAAACUGAAUGUAUGAGUUUUCAUGAUUUUUAUCAAUAAAGCUUACCAUAUUUAUUGUACAAAUAUCUGAUUUCCCCUAUACAUUGUAGUCAUAUGAGAGCUUGCUUGCAUUCAGAGAUAUGACAUCAUGUAUAAAGCCGAGUUAAACAACUUCAAAAUCUACCCAACAUGUUUUAAAUGAACACAAAAGAUUCUUCCUAAUUUCUUCUCUCUUUUUUUCAAUUUUGUUCAUAAAUUUAUAUUUAAGUCAAUUCACCUUUUUCAAACUUUUGAUGCAUAUGACGGAUUUCCUCUGUAUUGCUAUAUCUAUCAGGCCCAGCACAAUCUCUAUAUUUAACUAUAUAGUUUUAUAAAGCUAUUUCAAACAGCUUCAUUAAGCUAGUUUCGAUUAAAUUUCUUAAGUGCAAUGACACAUAACAAUAUACAUGUACUUUGAACUAACCACAACACUAUUCUAUGUAUAGAUCAUAUGUCAUUUUAAGAAUUUUCAUGAAAAGAGAAUUUCUUUUGUAUUGAUAACUGUCCACUGCCUUAUGUGUGUCGAAGCUUUGAUAAGUAUAUGAUGACUUUACAAUGUGGAAUCUGUAACAACUUAAUAAUCCUAAACAUUUGACAAUUUUGAAUCAAAAUUCUUCCUAAGGUACAUAGUUUAAGAA